UGGAAAAGCCUCUACCUUUCCCUCAGAAU
rnacentral:piRNA from 1 species